rnacentral:rRNA from 1 species
CUGGCGGUAUGCUUACACAUGCAAGUCGAACGAAAGUUUUUAACUUUAGUGGCGAACGGGUGCGUAAUACGUGAGAAUCUGCCCUUAGGAGAAGAAUAACUGCUGGAAACGGUUGCUAAAUCUUCAUAUGUCGAGAGAUGAAAUAGCUUAGGCUGCCUAAGGAUGAGCUCACGCCUGAUUAGCUUGUUGGUGAGGUAAUGGCUCACCAAGGCCACGAUCAGUAGCUGGUUUGAGAGAACGAUCAGCCACACUGGGACUGAGACACGGCCCAGACUCCUCCGGGAGGCAGCAGUGAGGAAUUUUCCGCAAUGGGCGAAAGCCUGACGGAGCAAUACCGCGUGAGGGAUGAAGGAUUUUGGUCUGUAAACCUCUUUUCUCAAGAAAGAAGUUCUGACGGUACUUGAGGAAUAAGCAUCGGCUAACUCCGUGCCAGCAGCCGCGGUAAUACGGGGGAUGCAAGCGUUAUCCGGAAUGAUUGGGCGUAAAGCGCCUGUAGGUUGUUUAUUAAGUCCGUUGUUAAAGCCUAGGGCUUAACCCUAGAAAAGCAAUGGAAACUAGUAGACUAGAGUAUGGCAGGGGUAGAGGGAAUUUCUAGUGUAGCGGUGAAAUGCGUAGAUAUUAGAAAGAACACCGGUGGCGAAAGCGCUCUACUGGACCAUUACUGACACUCAGAGGCGAAAGCUAGGGUAGCAAAAGGGAUUAGAUACCCCUGUAGUCCUAGCCGUAAACGAUGGAUACUAGAUGUUGUGCAUUAUGUACAGUAUCGUAGCUAACGCGUUAAGUAUCCCGC